UUAAAAUUACAUUGAACUGUUAUUCUUUUUCUUUGACCUCAUUUUUUAAAAAUUAUUUUCAUUAGUUUCAUGGUAAACUAAAUGUAGAAACAAAUUUCUACUUUCAUGGUUGACUAUUAUCAAGCAUAGUACUUAUGUGUUGGUCCAAAAAGGUAUUAUAGCACAUAUGCAAAGUCUCAACAUAAUCAUAUCAGUGUCUGCAAAUCAUGAAUUUGGACAUUGCAUAUCAAAAGGUACAUUGUUCCAGAUAUUGAUCAAAAGGUACAGUUUCCAUAUUAGUGACUUGGUUGUUCUUUUUUAAUAAAAAGAUUGUACUUACAUUAUCUACCUUAGGAAUAUUCAGCGUGAAAAACUGACUAUGUCCCUUUAUAUUCAACACAUCAUCCAACAAAAUGUUUAUUUUAUUGAACUUCUCUUCAAUGUGUAAACAAACAAAACAAUAAGUGUAUGUAUAAACUUUUGGAAACAUAACAGCAAGUGUAUGCAUAACAUCAAGUGUAUGCAUAAGCAAACAUAAACAAAUGGCUGCAAAUCUAUCAACAAAUGCAAGAAGAAAAAGGAAGAGCAUUGUGUCAACAAAGAUUUCAAAUAUGAUGAUGAACUCCUCAAGUAAAAUAAAUUUUUUUUCUCAUUUCAUUUGUUCUUAAAACUUCUUGCCAAUAAAUACAUUUACUUAUCUCCAAUAGAAUAACAUAAACAUUCAGAUGUACAUUUACCAACACAGUUUUUUAUUUUGUUUUCUUCACUGUAGAUACCAAUCAGGACAAAUCCAUUCACACUGAAGCAUUUUGUUCUGGAAAUACUACACCUUUUUCUCAUUAUACAGAUUUUGUAUGGAAUGAAAAUAUUACCCCAAAUUCAACUAUCAACAACUCCUUUACUGUCAGUGAAGAUAGAAAACUGCAUGAUCAAGCAAUUCAAUCUUCAAAUAGAAAGCCAUUGUUGGAGUUGACAUGUCGUGACAUUGACCAACUUAAUUAUAAGAAUGCACGAACAAGAAGGAAAGUUAUUAGGAAUCAGAAGAUUGCAGAAAAAAGUAUUAUCAUGCCUGAUAAAUCUAAUAUUAUUUUAUCUUUAUUUCAAUUCCUUUAAUAGUUUUUGUAUUACUAAUAUUUACUAGCAUUUCAUGUAAAGAAAUUCAUGGUUCUACCUCCAUUGGAUAUGGAAUUGUUGGUAAUUCAAUUAAAAUCACCAAUGGUCCAAUUUUGCACAAAACCAACAUUAACA